GUUGGAAACGGCAGCUAAGACCCCAUAGGCUUGAUGAAGUUAGAGUUAAUCAAGUAAAACUAUAGGUGCUCUGGGAGGGGUCUGCGGGCUAUCAGCUAGUUGGUGGGGUGAAGGCCUACCAAGGCGAAGACGGCUAGGGGGCGUGAGAGCGUGGCCCCCCACAAUGGGACUGAGACACGGCCCAUACUCCUACGGGAGGCAGCAGUGAGGAAUAUUGCACAAUGGGGGCAACCCUGAUGCAGCAAUGCCGCGUGGGUGAAGAAGGUUUUCGGAUCGUAAAGCCCUUUUCUGGGGGAAGAGAGAGGACGGUACCUCAGGAAUAAGUCCCGGCUAACUACGUGCCAGCAGCCGCGGUAAAACGUAGGGGGCGAGCGUUAUCCGGAAUUACUGGGCGUAAAGCGCAUGCAGGCGGUUUGAUAAGAUAGACGUGAAAGCUCCUGGCUUAACUGGGAGAGGACGUUUAUGACUGUCAGACUUGAGAUAGGUAGAGGAGAGUGGAAUUCCCGGUGUAGUGGUGGAAUGCGUAGAGAUCGGGAGGAACACCAGAGGCGAAAGCGGCUCUCUGGGCCUAAUCUGACGCUCAGAUGCGAAAGCGUGGGUAGCGAACGGGAUUAGAUACCCCGGUAGUCCACGCUGUAAACGAUGGUGACUAGGUGUAGCGGGUAUUGACCCCUGCUGUGCCGCAGCAAACGCGGUAAGUCACCCGCCUGGGUACUACGGUCGCAAGACUAAAGCUCAAAGGAAUUGACGGGGGCCCGCACAAGCAGCGGAGCGUGUGGUUUAAUUCGAUGAUACGCGAA
rnacentral:rRNA from 1 species